GUGACUGCGUACCUUUUGUAUAAUGGGUCAGCGACUUAUAUUCUGUAGCAAGGUUAACCGAAUAGGGGAGCCGGAGGGAAACCGAGUCUUAAUUGGGCGUUAAGUUGCAGGGUAUAGACCCGAAACCCGGUGAUCUAGCCAUGGGCAGGUUGAAGGUUGGGUAACACUAACUGGAGGACCGAACCGACUAAUGUUGAAAAAUUAGCGGAUGACCUGUGGCUGGGGGUGAAAGGCCAAUCAAACCGGGAGAUAGCUGGUUCUCCCCGAAAGCUAUUUAGGUAGCGCCUCGUGAAUUCAUCUCCGGGGGUAGAGCACUGUUUCGGCUAGGGGGCCAUCCCGGCUUACCAACCCGAUGCAAACUGCGAAUACCGGAGAAUGUUAUCACGGGAGACACACGGCGGGUGCUAACGUCCGUCGUGAAGAGGGAAACAACCCAGACCGCCAGCUAAGGUCCCAAAGUCAUGGUUAAGUGGGAAACGAUGUGGGAAGGCCCAGACAGCCAGGAUGUUGGCUUAGAAGCAGCCAUCAUUUAAAGAAAGCGUAAUAGCUCACUGGUCGAGUCGGCCUGCGCGGAAGAUGUAACGGGGCUAAACCAUGCACCGAAGCUGCGGCAGCGAACGUAUCACCCAAGACAACUUUACGGAGUUGACGAUUGACGGAGCGAAGCGACGUCAAAGCGUUCAUUAAAGUCGAGUUGGCUUAGGGAUACGUUCGUUGGGUAGGGGAGCGUUCUGUAAGCCUGUGAAGGUGUGUCGUGAGGCAUGCUGGAGGUAUCAGAAGUGCGAAUGCUGACAUAAGUAACGAUAAAGCGGGUGAAAAGCCCGCUCGCCGGAAGACCAAGGGUUCCUGUCCAACGUUAAUCGGGGCAGGGUGAGUCGACCCCUAAGGCGAGGCCGAAAGGCGUAGUCGAUGGGAAACGGGUUAAUAUUCCCGUACUUGGUGUUACUGCGAAGGGGGGACGGAGAAGGCUAUGUUGGCCGGGCGACGGUUGUCCCGGUUUAAGCGUGUAGGUGUGUGUUCCAGGUAAAUCCGGUUCACUUUAACACUGAGGCGUGACGACGAGGCACUACGGUGCUGAAGCAACAAAUGCCCUGCUUCCAGGAAAAGCCUCUAAGCAUCAGGUAACAUCAAAUCGUACCCCAAACCGACACAGGUGGUCAGGUAGAGAAUACCAAGGCGCUUGAGAGAACUCGGGUGAAGGAACUAGGCAAAAUGGUGCCGUAACUUCGGGAGAAGGCACGCUGACACGUAGGUGAAGUGAUUUACUCAUGGAGCUGAAGUCAGUCGAAGAUACCAGCUGGCUGCAACUGUUUAUUAAAAACACAGCACUGUGCAAACACGAAAGUGGACGUAUACGGUGUGACGCCUGCCCGGUGCCGGAAGGUUAAUUGAUGGGGUCAGCGCAAGCGAAGCUCCUGAUCGAAGCCCCGGUAAACGGCGGCCGUAACUAUAACGGUCCUAAGGUAGCGAAAUUCCUUGUCGGGUAAGUUCCGACCUGCACGAAUGGCGUAAUGAUGGCCAGGCUGUCUCCACCCGAGACUCAGUGAAAUUGAACUCGCUGUGAAGAUGCAGUGUACCCGCGGCAAGACGGAAAGACCCCGUGAACCUUUACUAUAGCUUGACACUGAACAUUGAGCCUUGAUGUGUAGGAUAGGUGGGAGGCUUUGAAGUGUGGACGCCAGUCUGCAUGGAGCCGACCUUGAAAUACCACCCUUUAAUGUUUGAUGUUCUAACGUGGACCCGUAAUCCGGGUUGCGGACAGUGUCUGGUGGGUAGUUUGACUGGGGCGGUCUCCUCCUAAAGAGUAACGGAGGAGCACGAAGGUUGGCUAAUCCUGGUCGGACAUCAGGAGGUUAGUGCAAUGGCAUAAGCCAGCUUGACUGCGAGCGUGACGGCGCGAGCAGGUGCGAAAGCAGGUCAUAGUGAUCCGGUGGUUCUGAAUGGAAGGGCCAUCGCUCAACGGAUAAAAGGUACUCCGGGGAUAACAGGCUGAUACCGCCCAAGAGUUCAUAUCGACGGCGGUGUUUGGCACCUCGAUGUCGGCUCAUCACAUCCUGGGGCUGAAGUAGGUCCCAAGGGUAUGGCUGUUCGCCAUUUAAAGUGGUACGCGAGCUGGGUUUAGAACGUCGUGAGACAGUUCGGUCCCUAUCUGCCGUGGGCGCUGGAGAACUGAGGGGGGCUGCUCCUAGUACGAGAGGACCGGAGUGGACGCAUCACUGGUGUUCGGGUUGUCAUGCCAAUGGCACUGCCCGGUAGCUAAAUGCGGAAGAGAUAAGUGCUGAAAGCAUCUAAGCACGAAACUUGCCCCGAGAUGAGUUCUCCCUGAGACUUAGAGUCUCCUGAAGGAACGUUGAAGACGACGACGUUGAUAGGCCGGGUGUGUAAGCGCAGCGAUGCGUUGAGCUAACCGGUACUAAUGAACCGUGAGGCUUAACCUUACAACGCCGAAG
rnacentral:rRNA from 1 species